GCCCUGGCCGGUGGCUCAGUGGUUAGAGCGUCGGCCUGCGGACCGCAGGGUCCCGGGUUCGAUUCCCGGUCGGGGCU